rnacentral:tRNA from 1 species
GGGCGCGUAGCUCAGUGGACAGAGUUCUUGGUUCCGGACCAAGAUGUCGCGGGUUCAAAUCCCGUCGCGCCCGCUA